AGAGUUUGAUCCUGGCUCAGAACGAACGUUGGCGGCGUGGAUUAGGCAUGCAAGUCGAACGAGAACCCUGGGCAACUGGGGGGAAAGUGGCGAAAGGGGCAGUAAGGCGUGGGUAACCUACCCCGGGGACCGGGAUAGCCAUCCUAACGGAUGGGUAAUACCGGGCGACGUAGCGGAGGGGCAUCUCUUUGCUACCAAAUGAAUUUCGCCCUGGGAGGGGCUCACGUGGUAUUAGCUAGUUGGUAGGGUAACGGCCUACCAAGGCAAAGAUGCCUAGCAGGUGUGAGAGCACGACCUGCGCCACUGGCACUGAGACACUGGCCAGACUCCUACGGGAGGCUGCAGUUGAGGAUCUUCGGCAAUGGGCGCAAGCCUGACCGAGCGACGCCGCGUGCGCGAUGAAGGCCUUCGGGUUGUAAAGCGCUGUCGAGGGGGAGGAAAGCCCGUAAGGGUUUGACCUAUCCCUGGAGGAAGCACGGGCUAAGUUCGUGCCAGCAGCCGCGGUAAU
rnacentral:rRNA from 1 species